ACUACUGAACCCCCUUACCCCUCACACUCAGCAGUACGUAUGGGACAGGAGCGGGGGACCCAAGUUCCACGCGACUAACUCGGACGGUCGCUUGGGGUGAAGCCAUCGCUCGAUGGCCGGGCAACCUUCUAGCCCGAACCCGACAGCUCACCUCGCAGGCGUGGGAAGGAACU
rnacentral:sRNA from 1 species